CCUACGGGAGGCAGCAGUGGGGAAUAUUGGACAAUGGGCGAAAGCCUGAUCCAGCCAUGCCGCGUGUGUGAAGAAGGUCUUCGGGUUGUAAAGCACUUUAAGUUGGGAGGAUGGGCAGUAAGAUAAUAGCAUGCUGUUUUGAUGUUACCGACAGAAUAAGCACCGGCUAACUGUGGGGCCGCAGCCGCGGUGAUAUAAAUGGGGCAAGCGCUAGUGGGAAUUACUGGGCGGAAAGCGCGCGGAGGUGGAUUGGUAAGUUGGAUGUGAAAGCCCCGGGCUCAACCCUGGAACUGCACCCAAAACUGGCAAUCUGGAGUAUGGUAGAGGGUAGUGGAAUUUCCUGUGUAGCGGUGAAAUGCGUAGAUAUACGAAGGAACACCAGUGGCGAAGGCGACUACCUGGACUGAUACUGACACUGAGGUGCGAAAGCGUGGGGAGCAAACAGGAUUAGAUACCCCAGUAGUC
rnacentral:rRNA from 1 species